AUAAUCCCAACUCAUAACGUUCAAUGUUAGCUAGCUAACAUUAGGCUAUAACUAGCAAUACAAAUGGCUCUGAGAUACGAAUAAUAUAACUACACACAUCAUACACGUAACUUUAGCUAGCGAGAGAGCCAGCUAACGUUAGCCAGCUAACGUUAGCUAGCUAACAGUACACUUUAACUUAAAAUGAAAACAACUUACUGACUAAAUUAGAUACGUGUAAUAUCUGAAAAUGUAGCUAGCUAGACUGUCUUACCCGUAUACAUGUAUGGACGCUUCUCCCUCUCUAUCACAGAUGCCAUGGUUGCCCAUAGUUUGAAGAUGUAAUCCGGAGACAGGUGUUUAAUACAACCGCCUUCUGUUUGUUCUCUUUUCGACUCCGUCUGCGUAUUUGCAAUCAAACACCAGAAUUUUCUCCAUCCUCUUAGCUAUCAUACUCUACUUCCACUGAUUUCCAAACUCCAGAAAGUGGAGAACACCUUUGCAGUAUCUUUCAAAAAAAGACGCGUUAGAAAGGAUUACCUACACAUACUGACCAGAUCAUGUUUUAGACAGAAGUGUGCUACAUGGCAGACCAAUCCGAACUCAUCUCUUGGCAUGUACAGCUCACUUAUUAUCUCAACCAAUCAUGGCUAGCGGGAAGGUUCCUGUCUCUUUUUGUGGCUAAACCAACUAGGCUCGUAAUAAUUUUUUUAAAUUCGUAUUUACAGAUGGCAUACAAGUUUGUUAUUAAGGCACAUGAAAGUUCACGUUACAGAAGGCAGUUCUGCCAAAAAUCACAUCUCCUCUGAAGUAGUGAUGUGCGACAUGCGCCUAGUUUCCUAAAAUGAGUCACAUAUUAUGGUGAAAUGAUCUUGGUUAUACAGUGGCAUGUUAAACAAGAGAGAACAUUUUAGAAACACUCUCUCUCAGCAUGCACACCAGUGUUUCCUUUGCGUUCGUUUAAGUGUGGCGCUGCUCCACAACAUAAUCAUUCGCGCCACACCAAAAGAAACAUCCUAUUUCUCCCAAACAUAGUUUCAAUACAGUUCUGUACAGCACAUUCACUUUUCUUGGUAAAUAGAUAUUCUGUCUUGGUUCAACACAGUUCUGAAGGUUAUUUAGCUCUGUGAGCUGUGGCAGGCAACCAGUGAGCGAGUGACCAGUGCUCGAUACAAAAGCUCUGCGGCGCGAAGCACAAUUCACUUGAAUCACUUCAGAGUGCUUCUGCGUGAAGAACUGCAAGAAAGGUACGUUAGUUUAUUUGACUAAAGUCAGCUAGCCAGCUUGUUUACUACAUAAGCUAGCUAUAACCUUAACUCUUCUAGCAUCAUUUAGAUCUAUAAUAUUGCUGCCGCAAUUGUAACAGCAAUUAUCUAUCCAAUGUCCACAAGUAUGUUGAUGAUAGAAACAUGGUUAGCUUGCUAGUUCGUUUGGAACUGUAUCAAGUGCAAGCAAGAUAGCUACAUUUAUCUGUCUUCGAUUACAUAACUUUUUUCUCAGAUUACUUUGUUUAAAUAUUUCCAGCCACAGCAGCGAAAGAGAAAGGGGGAGCAGGGACAAACUUUAUUUUGUUAGCUAACUCUUUAAAAGCUUAAGCUAUCGUUUUUAUAACAAGUGUAUGGCUUACUUUACUAGACAGAGAAGAGGUGGAAUCCCGGGUGUGAGGUAGGGAUGCAUAAGGGACAGAAUGGAGCAGAGGAAAGGAAAGCGCCAGGAGGGGAGAUGGAGGUGCGAAAAGGAGAGAGGGGAGCAGAGUGGAACAGAGGAAAGGAGAGAGCCAGGAAGGGAGAUGGAAGGAGAAAAAGAGAGAGGAGUAAGGCCAAGGGCGCACCACCGGCAAUCCGGAUGGGAUUUUAAAGUGGUUUAAAAUUUAGAAACUGAAGCCGUGGCUAUAUAAUACGCCACAUGGUUAGUCGAAUAUCCUUUAAUUAAUCUAAGGGCUAAAAAUGUUUGUGCAUAUUUAGUCUAUACUAGUCCACAGCAUUAUGUGUUUAUUUCUGAGCCAACUCCACCAGGACCUCGAUGACCCAAUGGGUCUGGAGGGAGAGGAGGCCAGGUGGAGAAGACCAAGACCAGGGAGCAGUUCUGGGUUUGGUUCAGAGAGGAGUCAUGGAUCCAUAUCUGGUUGGCCUCCAGGACAGCCUAAACCGGAGGUUCCAACACCUGGAGAUUCUGGGGGCCUUCAGGCUGCAUUCUCUAGUGAGAGGAUAAACACCUUUUAACCUGACCCUCCUCUCCAGGCAGUUCUUGCAAGCGUCAGAGGCUGUGGCCCUCUUACAAGCAACGUGCUAGUUGGAAAAUUUAAGGGAUUGGACCAGCUGACAGCAAUGACAAUGCUGGCCUCGCAGUUUGGUGAGUGAGGGCAGUCUACCCCUGCCUUAGUCAGCUGGCAGCGAUCGCACUGACUAUACCAGUGUCUUCCGCUAAUUGUCAAAACAGACUGCAGGGAGAGCAUCUAUCCACCUGCAUGCAGCUCUCCAUCAAUGGCCCUCCCAUCAAGGAGCUCAAUUACAGGAGGGCGUUGGAAAUCUUUUUCCAAAAGCCCAGAAGAAUAAAGUGCUCUGACAAGGGCUGUAAACUAUGUUAGAACUAGGUUUUUGUCAGAACCUGGAAAGAGAUUUCCAACACCCUUCUUUUGUGAUGGACAUGAAUUAGUGGACUCUAAUUCAUGUUCAGUCUCAUGUUCCUCUGUUCUGUCCAGAUAAACUUUUUUAAUUUCA